AUGUCGGGGUUCCACAAGGUGGUUCACAAGGCUUGGAAUGAACACUUGGACCACACCGAGCCUUACCAAGUUCUAUUCCACAAGCUCAAGAAAACGGUCAUUCAUCUCACUGGGUGGAGUAGAGGGCUCUUCUCCGAAGCUAAGGUUGACCUCCACGCCGCCCUUUUGGUGAUCUUUAGGCUUGAUACCGCCAAGGAGAUGCGACAAUUAUCUGUUAACGAGCACGACCUUUGUGCUAGACUAAAGAAAGGGGUCAUAAGUUUGGCAGUGCUUGAGAGAUCAAGGAAAAUGCAAUGUGCAAGGAUUACCAACUUGGGAGAAGGGGAUGCAAACACUAAAAAAAUUCACCGCUGCAUCAAUGCAAGGAGGAAGAACCACAUUCAUAGGCUCAAGCAUGGCCAAGGAUGGGUGACCGAGCAUGAAACCAAAGAGAAAAUUAUCCUUCACCAUUUCAUCGAUGUCAUGGGGAAAGGGUGUUAUAGUUCCAAAGACUUCAAUUGGGAUGAGAUAAAUUUGGAGGUUCCGGACUUGGAUGGGCUUGAUAGAUACAUUUCCGAGAAGGAGGUGAAAGAUGCCAUUGAUGAUAUGCCUAGUGCCCAGGCUCCCAGGCCGGACGAUUUCACGGGUGCAUUCUUUAAGAAGUGUCGAGGGCCAUAA
rnacentral:rRNA from 1 species